UAUGAAUGAUGAUUUUUUUUCUUACCUGAAUGUUACUGGAGGGAAAAUCUGAUUUAAUGAGUCUGACAA
rnacentral:snoRNA from 1 species